UAGAUCCUGUUCACACGUACAUGGUUAUUUUGACAAAUGGAGACAUUUCCCUUCGUUUGUGCCCUUCGUUUACACGUGAACGGAGAAUUCCCCUCUGAAAAGCCAGAGGGGAGAUU